GACGAACGCUGGCGGCGUGCUUAACACAUGCAAGUCGAACGGAAAGGCCUUUUCGGAGGUACUCGAGUGGCGAACGGGUGAGUAACACGUGGGUGAUCUGCCCUGCACUCUGGGAUAAGCCUGGGAAACUGGGUCUAAUACCGGAUAGGACCGCACUUUAGUGUGUGUGGUGGAAAGUUUUUUCGGUGUAGGAUGAGCCCGCGGCCUAUCAGCUUGUUGGUGGGGUAAUGGCCUACCAAGGCGGCGACGGGUAGCCGGACUGAGAGGUUGGUCGGCCACAUUGGGACUGAGAUACGGCCCAGACACCGACGGGAGGCAGCAGUGGGGAAUAUUGCACAAGGGGCGCAAGCCGGAUGCAGCGACGCCGCGUGGGGGAUGACGGCCUUCGGGUUGUAAACGCCUUUCGCCAGGGACGAAGCGUUUUGUGACGGUACCUGGAGAAGAAGCACCGGCUAACUACGUG
rnacentral:rRNA from 1 species